GCACCGCCUCCCGCGCGCACCGGCGGCCGCCCAGCCAGCGCCCCAUUGGCCCCACCGCGCUCCGCCAGAACGCGACUGAUUGGUGCUCGCCCAGAAGUGAGAGGCGCUUCUCCCAAUGAGAUCGGCGGAUCCUGCUGUGGGGGAGGAGCGUGGCAGAGGGGAAGCGUGAGCAGGGGGCCGUGCGCGCAGGGCGGGGCGUAGGAGUUGACAGCCUUGGAGGUGAGAGGCGGACUCGGAAAGCGCGAUCCUGGGUGCGCUGCGCGUGCUCCGACACACACAGACGCCCACGCGCCCCGGUGAGCAGGUUGCAAGGGCUCCACCCCGCCAGGCCUUCUGUAAAACUUCAGACAAGAGACUGAAGCCGAACUUACUUUGCAAGCACACCUGCAUCCGGCGCGGUGUGUUAGAAUUAGAAGCAGAAGAAUCGAUCCCUUCCCCUCUAAUUUUAGAGACCCAUCGAAAGAACUUCAAGUGAUGAGGAGCAAGGUCUGGAAGCUGAACAAAGGACACCUGCUUGUACAGCUUACCCUAACAUGUGAAGUUACACAGCGGAAAGAGAUCGUCAAAUUCUGGGUUCCGAAGCAGUAAGUCUGUACUGCAGAGGUCAAGGAAUUUGACGUCCUCACCCCGGACAGAUUCUCGGAGCGCGCUUUGUCGGCUCUCCCCACGCACCUGGCCGCUUAGGAGGAAUAAAUACCAAACAGUGUAACGAUCACUGCGGUCAACUUGGUUUUCGUUCAGCACUGAAACUACGGAGGUACAGCUAUUUUAGGUGGCUAUCAAAACCCUAAAUCCACCCCCACAGUAAACCGAGGUGUUAAAGCUUAAGCAGGAACAAUUAAAGGAACACAGGAAAACACCACGGCCGGCAUUUCACUGGCUUUAGGAGCCUGUAUGCAACAAUCUCCUCCUCACACGCUGCUCAGAAAGCAUUUCUUCCCAGCAAUUUCACAAGGAGAACAAAAGGGACUCAGAUGGAGAAUUUGUGAGCUUGGACAACAGGACCUCUCUAAGCCUGCCAGAAUGCUCGGUGCUUGGAAUAUAUUUGCCAGGAUCUGUCCAGGCCACUGUUAUUGCAACAAAAAGCGAACAUGAAAGAAUAAGUUGCUACUGGAGACAAGUGCGGGAAUUCACACAUCCUCAUCCGUGAACAGGUGCUUUCAAACCCCAGGCUUCAGAACAGUUUCCCCAUGCUUGCAUUUUGAUGGUGCUAUGAUGAAGCAAAUUAAAAAACAGAAGAGACAUUUUGAUUAUCGCACUGCCAAAUCUGAACAUUCCUGUUACGAUCUUGCACUUGCACGAGGCUGAGCUCACAGGGAGACUGCACAGUAGGAAGAAUAUGGACGUGUGUAAAGACAAGAAAAAGGACAGUUCUAAAUUUUAAAUGAUCCAGGCGUGGUGACCCACGCCUGUAAUCCCAGCACUCGGGAGGCUGAGGCAGGAGGAUUGUUACGAGUUCAAGGCCAGCCUGGGCUACAAAGUGAGCUCAAGGCCAGACUGAACUGCAUAGCGAGACCCUGUCUCAAAAAGAUAACAACAAAUAAAUAAAUUUUAAAUGAAGUCUUGGUUAGCAAUCUAACAAAUAAAAUUUCAAGAGAAAUACAUGUAGUAUAAUAUACUUUUCUCUCAGGAUUUUAAAAACUUUUUCAACUUUGGAACUCC
rnacentral:lncRNA from 1 species